rnacentral:lncRNA from 10 species
CAAAUUCAGAAGUUCAAUACCAGCGUCAGUUUGACUUGACACAAUCUAUGGUUGUAGUGUAUUGAUUUCACAAAUUGAACCUAUGAAAUGAAACUCUGUCAUCAAGAAGCUAUUGGACACCUAUAUGGACAUGCAUUUACCUCUCUGCCCAGUGCAAUUAUUUAUAAAUGUCUGUGGAAGAAUAGAGAGAGGAGGGAGGAAAGGAAGAAUAGAUUAUUCUGUGUCUUUCAGGAAGAGAGAGACAAGAAAAGAGAAAAUAUGAAAAACACUAGAGCAACACCUAACUCUUGAUUCCUGGGUUAGAGAAGGCUUUUUGUGAGAAGCCUAACACUAGAAGGCUAUGAAGGAGUUUGCCGGCUCUGUGGAGUAAAGAUAGAAGAGCAAGCACAGAGACAAGGAGGCCAGUAAAGAAGCUGAUGUGUUGAGUGAUGGAGGCUGGAAAUAAGGCCAAGUCAAUGGGAAGAGAAAGGAAGGAGAUCAUUCAAGAGAUGCUAUGGAGAGAAAUACUCAACCUGAAGGCCA